rnacentral:misc_RNA from 1 species
AACGCAUCUUGCACCCUGGGGUAUUCCCUAGGGUAUGUCUGUCUGAGUGUUAUUUGAACUUUCAAAGUCCCUUUCCUUUGAUUGGGUUGGGGUGCUUUGGAUCUUGUGUGUUUGCGAUGUGCUCGCCUCAAAUAGAAUGGGCAUUCACCUCUGAAGCCGUUGUCAGGUCCGACCUGGAGUGAUAGAAGUCUUUCAAGAUCUCUGGGGAACCAUCUCAGAAUGGUACCUGCUGUGGUGGGAGGGAGUGUCUUACAGACUCAUUUUGACGUUUUUGACCUCAGAUCAGGCAGGACUACCCGCUGAACUUAA